CGAGUUCCGAUACGAUCACCGAAGUUAAGCAACAUCCAUCCAGGUCAGUACUUAGAUGGGUGACCGCUUGGGGAAUACCAGGUGCUGUAC